rnacentral:rRNA from 1 species
AUUGAACGCUGGCGGCAGGCCUAACACAUGCAAGUCGAACGGUAACAGGCAGCAGCUUGCUGCUUUGCUGUCGAGUGGCGGACGGGUGAGUAAUGUCUGGGAAACUGCCUGAUGGAGGGGGAUAACUACUGGAAACGGUAGCUAAUACCGCAUAACGUCGCAAGACCAAAGAGGGUGACCUUCGGGCCUCUUGCCAUCCGAUGGGCCCAGCUGGGAAUAGCUAGUCGGUGGGGUAACGGCUCACCGAGGCCACGAUCACUACCUGGUAUGAGAGGAUGAGCAGACGCACUAGAAGUGAGACACGCUCCAGACCCCUACGAGUGGAAGCAGUGGGGAAUAUUGAAUAUGGAGCGCAAGCAUCAUGCCACCCUACCGCGUGUAUGAGAGAUUACUUGCCAUUGUAAAACACAUUCUGAAGGGGGGAAGGGGUUUAAGAUAAUAGCUUAACUCAAUGACGUUACCCGCAAAAGAAGCGCCGGCUUUCUCCGUG